rnacentral:rRNA from 1 species
UACGUAGGGUGCGAGCGUUGUCCGGAUUUACUGGGCGUAAAGGGCGCGUAGGCGGCCCGCUAAGUCGAACGUGAAAUCCCUGGGCUCAACCCAGGAACUGCGUCCGAUACUGGCAGGCUUGAAUCCGGGAGAGGGAUGCGGAAUUCCAGGUGUAGCGGUGAAAUGCGUAGAUAUCUGGAGGAACACCGGUGGCGAAGGCGGCAUCCUGGACCGGCAUUGACGCUGAGGCGCGAAAGCCAGG